rnacentral:rRNA from 1 species
GACGAACGCUGGCGGCGUGCUUAACACAUGCAAGUCGAACGGACAGGCCCUGCUUUUGUGGGGUGCUCGAGAGGCGAACGGGUGAGUAACACGUGAGUAACCUGCCCUUGACUUUGGGGUAAAUUCAGGAGACUGGGGCUCAUACCGGAUAGAAGCUCCUGCUGCAUGGUGGGGGUUGGAAAGUUUCGGCGGUUGUGGAUGGACUAGCGGCUUAUCCGCUUGUUGGUGGGGUAGUGGCUUACCAAGGGUGUGAAGGGUAGCCGGCCUGAGAGGUGGACCGGCCACAUUGCGACUGAGAUACGGCCCAGACGCGUACGUGAGGCAGUAGGGGGGAAUAUUGCGCAAUGGGCGGAAGCGUGAUGCAGAAACGUCGCGUGCGUGAUGAUGGCCUUCGGGUUGUAAACCGCUGUCGCAGGUGACGAAGAGGGAGUGACGGUAAUGGGUAAAGAAGCACCGGCUAACUACGUG